CACGUAGGUGGCAAGCGUUGUCCGGAAUUAUUGGGCGUAAAGCGCGCGCAGGCGGUCCUUUAAGUCUGAUGUGAAAGCCCACGGCUCAACCGUGGAGGGUCAUUGGAAACUGGGGGACUUGAGUGCAGAAGAGGAAAGCGGAAUUCCACGUGUAGCGGUGAAAUGCGUAGAGAUGUGGAGGAACACCAGUGGCGAAGGCGGCUUUCUGGUCUGUAACUGACGCUGAGGCGCGAAAGCGUGGGGAGCAAACAGG
rnacentral:rRNA from 1 species